rnacentral:rRNA from 1 species
AUUGAACGCUGGCGGCAGGCCUAACACAUGCAAGUCGAGCGGAUGAAGGGAGCUUGCUCCUGGAUUCAGCGGCGGACGGGUGAGUAAUGCCUAGGAAUCUGCCUGGUAGUGGGGGAUAACGUCCUGAAACGGGCGCUAAUACCGCAUACGUCCUGAGGGAGAAAGUGGGGGAUCUUCGGACCUCACGCUAUCAGAUGAGCCUAGGUCGGAUUAGCUAGUUGGUGGGGUAAAGGCCUACCAAGGCGACGAUCCGUAACUGGUCUGAGAGGAUGAUCAGUCACACUGGAACUGAGACACGGUCCAGACUCCUACGGGAGGCAGCAGUGGGGAAUAGUGGACAAUGGGCGAAAGCCUGAUCCAGCCAUGCCGCGUGUGUGAAGAAGGUCUUCGGAUUGUAAAGCACUUUAAGUUGGGAGGAAGGGCAGUAAGUUAAUACCUUGCUGUUUUGACGUUACCAACAGAAUAGGCACCGGCUAACUUCGUG